rnacentral:rRNA from 5 species
UAAGUUUCAACAACGGAUCUCUUGGCUCUCGCAUCGAUGAAGAACGCAGCGAAAUGCGAUAAGUAAUGUGAAUUGCAGAAUUCAGUGAAUCAUCGAAUCUUUGAACGCACCUUGCGCUCCUUGGUAUUCCUUGGAGCAUGCCUGUUUGAGUAUCAU